GAUGAACGCUGGCGGCGUGCCUAAUACAUGCCAGUCGAGCGAACAGACGAGGAGCUUGCUCCUGUGACGUUAGCGGCGGACGGGUGAGUAACACGGAGGUAACCGACCGGGAAGACUGGGAUAACUUCGGGAAACCGGGGCUAAAACCGGAGAAUAUUUCGAACCGCAUGGUUCGAUAGUAAAAGACGGCGGUGAUAUCACUUAUGGAUGGAGCUGCGCCGUAGUAGCUAGUUGGUAAGGGAACGGCUUACCAAGGCAACGGUGCGUAGCCGACCCGAGAGGGUGAUCGGCCACCCUGGAACUGAGACAGGGCGCACACUCCUACGGGAGGCAGCAGUAGGGACUCUUCCGCAAUGCGCCAAAGCGUGACGGAGCAACGCCGCGGGAGUGAUGAAGGUCUUCGGAUCGUAAAACUCUGUUAUUAGGGAAGAACAAAAGUGUAAGUAACUGUGCACGUCUUGACGGUACCUAAGUAGAAAGCCCCGGCUAACUACGUG
rnacentral:rRNA from 1 species